CUUCCGAUGCCUCACAUCCCUGACAGAAACUUUCUCGUUUCCCUCUACGAACAGAAUCAUAAAACAUAUCACUAACCUGCUACAAAAAGGGAAAGCUAUUCUCAAAGGGACCGGAUAAUACGAAAUGAGCGACCAAGCAACGGUAACUUCCAUCUUACAAAAACCAGUAUCAAGCCUACCAUUGCUUCUCUUGGCUUCCUGAGGUGUGAAAACCCAUGCAUUCAUCCUCCACAACAUUUCUUUUACUUUUAGAUGUCUUCCAUAACUUCACACAAACUUUCAGCGUUCCUCUAGUUUCAACAGAAACAACCGCCGUAAAAAGCUCGAUCUCGCCAUCACCAGUAACGAGCACUUUGUCACCUCUAG
rnacentral:lncRNA from 1 species